AUAUUUUGAUGAAUAAUGGAAAAAAAAGAACUAAAUAAAUAAUCUCCAUGAAUUCAAAUGCAUGAGAAAAUUAAUAAAUGUAAUAACAUGUUAAAAUAUUGCUGUAUUCAUGCCCACAAUAUUGAUAGCUGGAUGACUUCUUUGCAAAAAGAUGAAUUGAUAGUACUGCCUGCAUAAUAGGGGGAAAUAACUCUUCAAUAACUUAAAAUCAUUGAUAAGACAGGAUAACUACGACAGUAACAAAAGAAUAAUGGAUUUAGAUCAUAUCAUUUCUGAAAGUACAUUUCAUUACUCUCUAAUUCUGUAGUGACAGUUAUUCCAGUUGCAGUUUGACAUUCUACAUUCAGAAGUAUUCUUAAGAAUUUAUAUAUAUAC
rnacentral:lncRNA from 1 species